rnacentral:ncRNA from 1 species
GAAGUGGUUUGUCUUCGGAUGAACUGCGGAGGCCUGAAGCGCCAGUGAACGACGGCAGUAACUAUAAACAUGACAGUUGUAGUUAUAAAAUCUGACUAUUUGCUGGAAACUCCGAUUGAAUCCGACACUACCAGAAGUGGUGAAAAUGUGCUCGGUGCGGUCCCCUUCGCUCUGAUGAGCUUCGGACGACCAACGGACAAUCAGCAGGCAACCUGGGAAACCAGAGAGUCCUCAGAGGCCAUACGUCAGAUCCGCCAAAACUUCGUAAGAUGUUGGCGGAAAGAUAUGGUCCGAUCUCAUGGGCGACCAUGAG